rnacentral:sRNA from 1 species
GGGAGCCGGUACCGAGGCCCGAGCCGCGGGAGCCGAGCGAAGGCAGCGCCGAGGCCGCGGUUUCCCCCUGGGCCUCCCCAGAAGCAACCAUGGGCAUCAAAUUUUUAGAAGUUAUCAAACCAUUCUGUGCAGUUCUACCAGAAAUUCAGAAACCGGAAAGGAAAAUCCAGUUUAGAGAGAAGGUUCUAUGGACUGCUAUAACGCUCUUCAUUUUCUUAGUAUGUUGUCAGAUUGAGUAAGCAUAAUUUUUAGUGGCCAUGUAAUAUUCCAUUGUGGCUAGUCAGUCUUACACUGAGAAGAGUGACCUUGGCUGUCUUUAGUAUAUGGAGCUUUGCAAAAUUAUUCUAUGACCAGGCAGAUCCCACUGUUUGGAAUCAUGUCAUCAGAUUCUGCAGAUCCUUUCUACUGGAUGAGAGUCAUUCUGGCUUCCAAUAGAGGAACUUUAAUGGAAUUGGGUAUCUCCCCAAUUGUAACAUCUGGUUUGAUUAUGCAGUUGUUAGCUGGAGCCAAAAUCAUUGAAGUUGGAGAUACACCGAAAGAUAGAGCUUUAUUCAAUGGAGCCCAGAAAUUGUUUGGUAUGAUCAUUACCAUUGGGCAAGCCAUUGUGUAUGUCAUGACGGGGAUGUAUGGGGACCCUGCGGAAAUGGGUGCCGGGAUCUGUCUCCUGAUCAUCAUUCAGUUGUUUGUUGCUGGUUUGAUUGUGCUGCUGUUAGAUGAGCUGCUACAGAAGGGUUACGGCUUGGGGUCUGGGAUUUCCCUCUUUAUUGCCACCAACAUCUGUGAGACCAUUGUCUGGAAGGCCUUUAGUCCCACUACCAUUAACACUGGCAGAGGUACUGAGUUUGAGGGUGCAGUCAUAGCUCUGUUCCAUUUGUUGGCCACCAGGACGGACAAAGUCCGAGCUUUACGGGAGGCUUUUUAUCGGCAGAACUUACCCAAUCUCAUGAACCUCAUUGCUACAGUUUUUGUGUUUGCUGUUGUUAUAUAUUUCCAAGGAUUUCGCGUUGAUCUGCCCAUUAAGUCGGCCCGCUACCGAGGACAGUACAGCAGCUACCCCAUCAAACUCUUCUACACCUCCAACAUCCCCAUCAUCCUCCAGUCGGCCUUGGUGUCAAACCUGUAUGUGAUUUCCCAGAUGCUGUCUGUUCGAUUUAGCGGCAACUUUUUAGUAAACUUACUAGGACAGUGGGCCGAUGUCAGUGGGGGAGGCCCCGCACGUUCUUAUCCAGUUGGAGGCCUUUGUUACUAUCUUUCUCCCCCUGAGUCCAUGGGCGCCAUCUUUGAGGAUCCUGUCCAUGUCGUUGUUUAUAUCAUCUUCAUGUUGGGGUCAUGUGCAUUCUUCUCUAAGACAUGGAUUGAAGUGUCUGGUUCCUCAGCCAAAGAUGUAGCUAAACAGCUGAAAGAACAGCAGAUGGUAAUGAGGGGCCACCGAGAUACGUCUAUGGUUCAUGAGCUUAAUAGUGCUAGAGCGUAGGAAUAGACCCUGGCGUCCACUGUGAGAUGUUCUUCAGCUACCAGAGCUGUGGAAAGCAAAGAAAACCACUUAGAUCGUGCCGUUAAGGAAGGACAAAACAUCUUAUUCAAUCAGUGUUUGCGGAGCAGACCAAAAGUGAAGUUAAGAAGGUGGAAGGGAGAAGGAAGACAUUUUACAAAAAGGAUACUCUUCUACUAAAAGAUAACCCCGCAUGGCAUUUCACACUUUCCUAUGUCACCCUGCUUUCCACACACCUCCUCAGAGGGAGGGGCUAUCUGUUAUUGUUCCUGUUUUAUGAAAAAAGCCAAGAGAGGCUACAGAACCCGUUUGAUGUGAUAGCUAAUUAUGGUCCGUGGAGCCUCAAACCGAGUCGGGCCUGUGACUCCAAGCUGCGCUGCCUCGUAUUGAUUGUCAUGCCUUUCUCCAAAUACGUGCCAGAUAAAUUAUUUUAUCUAUUCAGUAUGAUUGUUCUAACUCUGGCUUUGAGCUGUCGAGGUGGCUUCUACCUUAGGUCUAGUUUUUGGAAAGGUGAAGCAGGAGUGGAAGCUCUCUAAGGGAUCUGAAAUCUGAUUUUAUCCGAAGAAAUCACAGCAGCCUUUGAAAGACACAUUCAGAUUUUCAAACAAACAACAGACAUUUCAAAACCAGGUGCUCUGCUUAUUCAUUGAAACUGUAAGCUGCUGAAACUCAGGGAAAAGCUUAAGAAACUGGUCUUAAAGCUUCAGGCCAAACAAUGCUUCAAAUCACAUUUGAAGUAAUCACUUAAAAACAGUAGAAAAAUCAGUUAUCAAUUACCUAAAACACUUAUACCCAAUAAAAUAUUCCCAUGAUGACAA